rnacentral:rRNA from 1 species
AGCGAACGCUGGCGGCAGGCUUAACACAUGCAAGUCGAGCGGGCAUAGCAAUAUGUCAGCGGCAGACGGGUGAGUAACGCGUGGGAACGUACCUUUUGGUUCGGAACGACACAGGGAAACUUGUGCUAAUACCGGAUAAGCCCUUACGGGGAAAGAUUUAUCGCCGAAAGAUCGGCCCGCGUCUGAUUAGCUAGUUGGUGAGGUAAUGGCUCACCAAGGCGACGAUCAGUAGCUGGUCUGAGAGGAUGAUCAGCCACAUUGGGACUGAGACACGGCCCAAACUCCUACGGGAGGCAGCAGUGGGGAAUAUUAGACAAUGGGCGCAAGCUUGAUCCAGCCAUGCCGCGUGAGUGAUGAAGGCCCUAGGGUUGUAAAGCUCUUUUGUGCGGGAAGAUAAUGACGGUACCGCAAGAAUAAGCCCCGGCUAACUUCGUGCCAGCAGCCGCCGUAA